rnacentral:rRNA from 1 species
GAUGAACGCUGGCGGCGUGCCUAAUACAUGCAAGUCGAGCGAACGGACGAGAAGCUUGCUUCUCUGAUGUUAGCGGCGGAAGGGUGAGUAACACGUGGAUACCCUACCUAUAAGACCGGGAUAACUUCGGGAAACCGGAGCUAAUACCGGAUAAUAUUUUGACCCGCAUGGUUCAAAAGUGAAAGACGGUCUUGCUGUCACUUAUAGAUGGAUCCGCGCUGCAUUAGCUAGUUGGUAAGGUAACGGCUUACCAAGGCAACGAUGCAUAGCCGACCUGAGAGGGUGAUCGGCCACACUGGAACUGAGACACGGUCCAGACUCCUACGGGAGGCAGCAGUAGGGAAUCUUCCGCAAUGGGCGAAAGCCUGACGGAGCAACGCCGCGUGAGUGAUGAAGGUCUUCGGAUCGUAAACCUCUGUUAUUAGGGAAGAACAUAUGUGUAAGUAACUGUGCACAUCUUGACGGUACCUAAUCAGAAAGCCCCGGCUAACUACGUG